AACUCCUUGCACUGACUGCUUGGCAUCUUUAGUCUAAGCAACUGCUCAGUGAACUCAGUGUUCCUGCUUUGCGAUAGCCUGCUGGGGAUUGUGCAAGAAUGGUCUGUGCGUUUCUCAGUCUUCGGUUCAGGCUCCACAACUGGUUGAUGCUGUUUUCCUGUUAGUGUCUCCUUUUCAUCAUGCACGAUCCUCCAUAGUGAUGGAAUGGAGACAGCUUCUCAGAGAAAGCACAGCUUUGGAAGCUUGGGAGGUCCAGGUCUGAGAUCAGGAAGAUCAUCUUGGUAUAGAAGGUGUCAGAGGAGAAGAGGUGAGUGAGAGAGGCUGAGUGAGCCCCUCCCUUUUAGAACAUAGAGGCUUCCAUGCACCAGGGGAACAGUCUCUUGAGUUCACUGGCACCCAGGCCACACCCUUGCCAGGGCCAGUCUGGAACGGGGCUGCUUGUUUGCCAUGUCUCCCAGUG
rnacentral:lncRNA from 1 species